rnacentral:rRNA from 1 species
CGGUUUUUUGAAACUUUGUUCACUCCUUACGGGGGAGACAGUCAUGAGACGUGAGUAUAAGACCUGAGUGUAAAGACCUUAGGGUGAAGCAAUUGGAGGGCAAGCUUUGGUGCCAGCAGCCGCGGUAACUCCAACUCCAAGAGUGUCUAUGGUGGAUGCUGCAGUUAAAGGGUCCGUAGUCGUGAAUGCAAUUAAAUGUCGUUGUUCAAUAGCGAUGAGUUUGCUAAUGUUUGCGGAACGGAUAGGGAGUGUAGUAUAGACUGGCGAAGAAUGAAAUCUCAAGACCCAGUUUGGACUAACGGAGGCGAAGGCGACACUCUUAGACGUAUCUUAGGAUCAAGGACGAAGGCAGGAGUAUCGAAAGUGAUUAGACACCGCUGUAGUUCCUGCAGUAAACUAUGCCGACAGCCUGUGUGUGAGAAUACGUGGGCGGGAGAAAUCUUAGUGUUCGGGCUCUGGGGAUAGUACGCUCGCAAGGGUGAAACUUAAAGCGAAAUUGACGGAAGGACACUACCAGGAGUGGAUUGUGCUGCUUAAUUUAACUCAACGCGGGAAAACUUACCAGGGUCAAGUCAUUCGUUGAUCGAAUACGUGAGAAUGGCAGGAUGGGUGCAUGGAAGGACC